AGAGUUUGAUCAUGGCUCAGGAUGAACGCUAGCGGGAGGCCUAACACAUGCAAGUCGAACGGGAAGGGCAGCAAUGCCCCGAGAGUGGCGCACGGGUGAGUAACGCGUAUGCAACCUGCCUUUAACUGAGGGAUAGCCCAUAGAAAUGUGGAUUAAUACCUCAUAGUUCUUAACCCCUGCAUGGGGGAUAAGAUAAAGCUCCGGCGGUUAAAGAUGGGCAUGCGUGACAUUAGCUAGUUGGUGAGGUAACGGCUCACCAAGGCGACGAUGUCUAGGGGUUCUGAGAGGAUGAUCCCCCACACUGGUACUGAGACACGGACCAGACUCCUACGGGAGGCAGCAGUGAGGAAUAUUGGUCAAUGGGCGCAAGCCUGAACCAGCCAUCCCGCGUGCAGGAUGACGGCCCUAUGGGUUGUAAACUGCUUUUGUACACCAAGAAAACUCGCUACGUGUAGCGAUCUGACGGUAGUGUAUGAAUAAGCAUCGGCUAACUCCGUGCCAGCAGCCGCGGUAAUACGGAGGAUGCAAGCGUUAUCCGGAUUCAUUGGGUUUAAAGGGUGCGUAGGCGGCCUUUUAAGUCAGUGGUGAAAUCCUGCCGCUUAACGGUAGAAUUGCCAUUGAUACUGAAAGGCUUGAGUUCAGUUGAGGUAAGCGGAAUGUGUAGUGUAGCGGUGAAAUGCUUAGAUAUUACACAGAACACCAAUUGCGAAGGCAGCUUACUAAACUGACACUGACGCUGAUGCACGAAAGCGUGGGGAGCGAACAGGAUUAGAUACCCUGGUAGUCCACGCCGUAAACGAUGUUCACUCGCUGUUUGCGAUACACAGCAAGCGGCCAAGCGAAAGCAUUAAGUGAACCACCUGGGGAGUACGAUCGCAAGGUUGAAACUCAAAUGAAUUGACGG
rnacentral:rRNA from 1 species